AUUGAACGCUGGCGGCAUGCCUUACACAUGCAAGUCGAACGGCAGCACGGGUGCUUGCACCUGGUGGCGAGUGGCGAACGGGUGAGUAAUACAUCGGAACAUGUCCUGUAGUGGGGGAUAGCCCGGCGAAAGCCGGAUUAAUACCGCAAACGAUCUACGGAUGAAAGCGGGGGACCUUCGGGCCUCGCGCUAUAGGGUUGGCCGAUGGCUGAUUAGCUAGUUGGUGGGGUAAAGGCCUACCAAGGCGACGAUCAGUAGCUGGUCUGAGAGGACGACCAGCCACACUGGGACUGAGACACGGCCCAGACUCCUACGGGAGGCAGCAGUGGGGAAUUUUGGACAAUGGGCGAAAGCCUGAUCCAGCAAUGCCGCGUGUGUGAAGAAGGCCUUCGGGUUGUAAAGCACUUUUGUCCGGAAAGAAAUCCUUGGCCCUAAUACGGUCGGGGGAUGACGGUACCGGAAGAAUAAGCACCGGCUAACUACGUG
rnacentral:rRNA from 1 species